rnacentral:rRNA from 1 species
UACAGAGGUCUCAAGCGUUGUUCGGAUUCAUUGGGCGUAAAGGGUGCGUAGGCGGUGGGGCAAGUCAGGGGUGAAAUCCCGGAGCUCAACUCCGGAACUGCACUUGAUACUGCUUUACUAGAGUACUGGAGAGGAGACUGGAAUUUACGGUGUAGCAGUGAAAUGCGUAGAUAUCGUAAGGAAGACCAGUGGCGAAGGCGAGUCUCUGGACAGUUACUGACGCUGAGGCACGAAGGCCAGGGGAGCAAACGGG